rnacentral:rRNA from 1 species
AUUGAACGCUGGCGGCAGGCCUAACACAUGCAAGUCGAAUGGUAACAGGAAACAGCUUGCUGUUUCGCUGACGAGUGGCGGACGGGUGAGUAAUGUCUGGGAAACUGCCUGAUGGAGGGGGAUAACUACUGGAAACGGUAGCUAAUACCGCAUAACGUCGCAAGACCAAAGAGGGGGACCUUCGGGCCUCUUGCUAUCAGAUGUGCCCAGAUGGGAUUAGCUAGUAGGUGGGGUAACGGCUCACCUAGGCGACGAUCCCUAGCUGGUCUGAGAGGAUGACCAGCCACACUGGAACUGAGACACGGUCCAGACUCCUACGGGAGGCAGCAGUGGGGAAUAUUGCACAAUGGGCGCAAGCCUGAUGCAGCCAUGCCGCGUGUAUGAAGAAGGCCUUCGGGUUGUAAAGUACUUUCAGCGGGGAGGAAGGGAGUAAAGUUAAUACCUUUGCUCAUUGACGUUACCCGCAGAAGAAGCACCGGCUAACUCCGUG